rnacentral:rRNA from 1 species
UGCCAGCAGCCGCGGUAAUACGGAGGGGGUUAGCGUUGUUCGGAAUUACUGGGCGUAAAGCGCGCGUAGGUGGUUUGAUAAGUGGGAUGUGAAAGCCCCGGGCUCAACCUGGGAACUGCAUUCCAAACUGCCAAGCUAGAGUAUGGUAGAGGGAGGUAGAAUUUCCUGUGUAGCGGUGAAAUGCGUAGAUAUAGGAAGGAAUACCGGUGGCGAAGGCGGCCUCCUGGACCAAUACUGACACUGAGGUGCGAAAGCGUGGGGAGCAAACAGGAUUAGAUA